GCGGGGCCGUCGGUCCCUCCUCGGUGCGCGCGGCCGCGUCGCCAGCCUCUCGGGGGCGGUGCUUAGGGGUCGAGGCGCCGGAGCGCCUGCCGGGCCCGGUCGGAAGAGCCUCGGACUCUUGAUCUCGGGCUACGAGUUCGAGCCCCUGUUGGGUGUAGAGAUUACAGUGAGUCAGAUGCUGACAGACUCCUAGCAUCUCUCAUCGUCUUCCUGUUGCCCCUUCCCCUCUGAAGAUCAAAGCUCACCUCAGGAGAACUUCCAGAGAGAAGAAAUAGCCAGCGGAACCCCCGGGCCAGGCAGGAAAACCAAGUAAACAAGUGAUUGACGCACUUGGUAGACAAGCUGGAGGGGCCCCCACGCAGUCUUCUCUCCUGGGGGUUUUACUCUCCCUGAAAUAGGAAUGAUACUUCUUACCCAUAAGUUUUCCUGGAAGACGUACUAAGGAGAAAAGCCACUCCAAUUCAUUUCAUCAACUGGAGUCUGAACCCUGAAGUAACUCUGUCCAAAUGGCAGCUGGAGGGAAGGAAGUUAUGAUGUUCCACAAAGUCAAGGGACACAGAGAAGCUGUGAAGUCAGCCUUUCUCGCACUCUUUAAACUCAGGACCAGUUGCCUUCCUCGCAGCUCGAUCAGGCUGGAGGCAGAGGAGUGAAGAAUUGACCUCUCUGACUGCAGAAGGACCAGUGGCCAGAUCACCCAUCUCCCAGACAGAUGUUCCAGGUAACCUAAGAGAGACAACAAAUACAGGUCAUUUGAAUUGAAUGGAGUGUGAUGUCAACACCCCAAGCAGAGCUGCUCAGCUGGCCAGAACUGCAGGUGAAGGAAUCAAAGAAUGAUGAGGAAGUUUCACAAAACUGCAGCACAGGACUCGAUGUACUUGGAUUCCUUACAUUUCAGCUGGAUUCCCCAAGAGUACAAAAGUGGAAGCUGCCAGGCCCGUCAACAGACUGGGGUGACUUGGCACAGUUAAGUGACUCACCAGGGCCACCGCAGCCCGGGACAAGGUCCCUCAAGAUCAUCUACCCGGCUCUGCUUGAGACUCACCCUUGUGGAAUAAGAUCUGCCUCCUGAUUUGGCUUCUAACCCAGGAAGAGAGACUGAAUAACCACUGGGAGGGGCCAGGACUCUGGUUCAUUCACCCUCCACUCAGGAAACAGUGAAAAACUGGGCCCUCGUCUGUGCUGGGUGUUGCGGUAAGGAUCCAGAGGUGCACAAGCCACUCCCGCUCUCUCGGGGCCCCCAGUCCAGGACAGGGCUUGUGAAACCAGGAGAGAGGCAACGGGAACCGCAUCGAAGCGGCGCUGCUUGCUGAGCUCCUCCCAGGGAAACCAAUGUCCACCGUUAAUGUCACCAGGCCUCUGGAUUCAGCCCGGACAGAGGAAGGGCAUAUCCUGGACACAGUGUGGGGCAAAGAUUGGGGCCGCUUGGCUCAAUGGAGAAACUCUUCUGUGGCUGGAGCACAGGAGGUGGGGUGUGGGGUGCCGGGAAGAGCACUAGGAGCCCCGAGGAGUUUAAAGCAGGAUGGGAAGGGGGUCAGAUUUGAGUCCAGGAUGCUGGACUCACUGCUGGUUGCAGUGAUGGCCAAGUGGAAGAGGCUCUGUAUUAGAGGCAGGGAGACCAGCUGAGGGGCCUCAUUUGCUCAUUCAACAAACAUCUACAGAGCCUCUUUCAGGUGCCAGGCCCCGAGUUGGUGUGUGGAUCCAGGCAAGGGGCUGCAGGGGCCUCGGAGGGAGGCCAGGAUGCAGAGAAGGGGCAGGGAUCUCGGAGGUGUUCUCGCUGCGUUAUGCAAACGCAUCCUGGCAGUUCUCACACUGGCCUCUGCUUCCCGAACCAGUUGUAAAUGAAUUUGGAAGUUGGGGACCUGUUGUUUCAGGGAUGAAGAGCUGAUAUUUCGGGUCUGAGCUCAAAUCUCGGGCCCCACAGAAGAGAGGACCCCAUUCCCGGAGACUCCACCCAGAGCAGCCCAGCCAGCCUCCUCCUCCCUCUACUCUGCCCCAGCUCAAGAAACCUUCAGGGCGGUGGUGCUUGGCUGGCCUCUUCAGUAAGGGGGUGAAACUGUUACCUGCCGUGGAGCUGAGGGCCUCCUCCGGGAUGACACUGGAGGUGGGAGCCCAGCUGGCACACGGAGUUUGCGAGUCUCUAUUUCCGUGCUCCUCUGCCCCUUGGACUACAGACUUUUUAAGGGUAGGAAGGACUGUCUCCUCCAGCAGGCUGGGUUUUCUGAGGGAGUCUCCCCCAUCAGAUCAGGAACUUCUGGAGGGUAAGAAUGAGGAACCGGGACGCAAGUCAGGGCAUCUGUGUUGCUGCCGUUUGCAAAGGUGAGAAAUUCUCCAUUUGCCUCAUUUUCCUCAUUUGUAAAAUGGGAUUGAUUAUAACACCUGUUGUGAGGGUAAAGAUAAGACCUAAAGAUAGAAGAGACAAGAUUAAAAGAGCCUUGAGGGAUAGGGACAGGAUGUCAAUACCAAGGACAGACCUUGACAAAUAGCCAGAAAUGAGGACAAAGGGAGCCUGUCUGUAAGCUCUGUGAGUGCAGGGGGUUUGGUCCAUUUUACACACUGUGGUGUUUAAGAGUCUCAUACAGAACCAGGCAGCCCGGGUGGCAGUGGUUUAGCGCCGCCUUCGGCCC